rnacentral:lncRNA from 1 species
GUGAUAAAGUUGUUUUUCAUUGCUUUUAAAGGCAAAAAAAUAAUUAAAGUGCUGACAGGUAAAGCUAUUUUCAACAACCAAACAAUUCAUUUUUAUCCCUUUUAGUUAUGGAAGCUAUUAAAGCAAUUGUAGAUAGAUUUGAGUUCUCAGUAAUGAAUUUGCAGGUUAAGAGCUUCAUAUAGCUGACAUCAUUCCAUACCCCAUAUAUGUUAUGUAUUCCUGUAAGAAACAGAUGCACAACCGAAAAGAUAGUAAUA